rnacentral:rRNA from 1 species
GAUGAACGCUGGCGGCGUGCUUAACACAUGCAAGUCGAACGGAAAGGCCCAAGCUUGCUUGGGUACUCGAGUGGCGAACGGGUGAGUAACACGUGGGUGAUCUGCCCUGCACUUCGGGAUAAGCCUGGGAAACUGGGUCUAAUACCGGAUAGGACGAUGGUUUGGAUGCCAUUGUGGAAAGUUUUUUCGGUGUGGGGUGAGCUCGCGGCCUAUCUGCUUGUUGGUGUGGUAAUGGCCUACCAAGGCGUUGACGGGGAGCCGGCCUGAGAGGGUGUACGGCCACAUUGGGGGUGAGAUACGGCCCAGACUCCCACGGGGGGCAGCAGUGGGGAAUAUUGCACAAUAGGCGCGAGCCUGAUGCAGAGACGCCGCGUGGGGGAUGACGGCCUUCGGGUUGUAAACUCCUUUCGCUAGGGACGAAGCGUUUUUGUGACGGUACCUGGAGAAGAAGCACCGGCUAACUACGUG